rnacentral:rRNA from 1 species
UACGGGGGGGGUAAGCGUUGUUCGGAAUUACUGGGCGUAAAGGGCUCGUAGGCGGCCAACUAAGUCAGACGUGAAAUCCCUCAGCUUAACUGGGGAACUGCGUCUGAUACUGGAUGGCUUGGAUUUGGGAGAGGGAUGCGGAAUUCCUGGUGUAGCGGUGAAAUGCGCAGAUAUCAGGAGGAACACCGGUGGCGAAGGCGGUUCUCUGGGCAUGUCCUGACGCUGAGGAGCGAAAGUGUGGGGAGCGAACAGG